UGGAGGGCCGAGAAGGUGGGGCAGUCCCAACCCGUGCUGCUUUCCAUUGGUUAAGACCUCCGACAGUAAAGGGCUGGCCAGGCAAAAGAUGUCCCUCUCCACUGCCUGGGAGGGGCAGCACUGUACUGGCCCACAUUUU